AGCGAACGCUGGCGGCAGGCCUAACACAUGCAAGUCGAACGAACCUUUCGGGGUUAGUGGCGGACGGGUGAGUAACACGUGGGAACGUGCCUUUAGGUUCGGAAUAACUCAGGGAAACUUGUGCUAAUACCGAAUGUGCCCUUCGGGGGAAAGAUUUAUCGCCUUUAGAGCGGCCCGCGUCUGAUUAGCUAGUUGGUUGAGGUAAUGGCUCACCAAGGCGACGAUCAGUAGCUGGUCUGAGAGGAUGAUCAGCCACAUUGGGACUGAGACACGGCCCAAACUCCUACGGGAGGCAGCAGUGGGGAAUCUUGCGAAAGGGGCGAAAGCCUGACGCAGCCAUGCCGCGUGAAUGAUGAAGGUCUUAGGAUUGUAAAAUUCUUUCACCGGGGACGAUAAUGACGGUACCCGGAGAAGAAGCCCCGGCUAACUUCGUG
rnacentral:rRNA from 1 species